CACCUCUUUCCUUUCUUCAGCGACUCCAGCUCCGACUCCUCGACUCUUCUGCUCCCCCUCCGACGGCUACUUGAGAGAGAGAAACUCAAAGAGCAACAAUGUUACGAGGGGAAGAACCCUAGCAAGAGGCUCAAGCAGAAGGCAUCGCCCAUGGCCGGGGCCGACCCUGGAAACCUAGCAGGAAAAUGAAGAAGCUCGUUUGGGAGCGGGCCCUGGAGUAUCACUCUGACUAGGACGACGAAGUCGACGAGGAAGUUCUGGAGGAGCCUUCGAGCGACGCGGAGCAGGAUAAGGAAGAACAGAAGGACGGUUUGGGCGUCGGGGAUAACGGGAGCGACAGUUGCGAAGUCUAUGAUGAGGAGGACGGGGAUGGAGUGAAGCAUGGCAUCUCCCGGUUUGUCGAGGGUUGAGGGAUUUGGAUCGCUGUUUCUAAGAUUAUGAAGAGGCGCCUCUGGGAUGAUUCCCUUUUCAUAAGAAGCUUGUUGCAGAAAAUCUUGCAUAAGAGGAUACAGCUACUUAAGAAAGGGGAGACGAGAAGGAGAAAAAAAAGAUGCUUAGUGUGAUUAAUUACCAGACUUGUCACACAAUUGCCUCCCCGUUCUGUUGCUUUCAUUACGGAUUGGUAGGUGCAGUAUUUAUGUGCUUUCACAUUUUUCAUUCUGCAUAUGCGACCAGGCAGCCGAGAAGGGGCACGCUAAAGUGGAGAAUUUUUUGAACGCAAACGAGGAGUUUCUUAAAGGAAGUAAUCUCUGGCUUCCAAAGGAUGUGACCUAACAUCUUUGCAAAUUAUGUCAUUCUAGCCAUUUACUGUGCUACAGUACUUUCCCCUCGAACUAAAAAGUCUUCAUCUUGCAUGUGUGAUUCUUUGCUGGAUUAUCAGUUGUGAAGUUAUUUAUGCAGUCAGUAAAGCACAGAGUUGCCAGAAUGGCUUGAGUCCUUUGAGCUCCAUAGGUGCUAAAGUUGAUCAUUUUUUUGGUACUAGAAGGUGAAGAUACUUCCAUGUCUGGUCUAUAAUCUCAUCCUGUGUUAGACAGCAUGGUCAAAUGUACCUUUUUGGUAAAUUACCAACAUCGAUUACUCACUGACAUGUUUUGGCAAAAAGAAGAAAGCAAGCAUUUUUUCAGAGCUACAAAAGGCAACAACCUAGGUGUUUGGGCUUCGCCCGACUAAUCUUGGAGGUAGAUAGCCUUCCCCUUGGUUCUCCUACCGAGUAAAUCUGGAGUACAACUUAUGCACAUUUAGAAAUCUUAAGGUAGAUGAUUAUUUUGUCAGUGACAUGCAUGAAUUUAUUGUCCUGGUUUUUGCAAGUGGUAUAGGAGUUUCUUCUAUUAAACAUAGAUUUUAGAGAGUAUCAUGAAGAAUCUUCACAUCAAGGAUAAUUAAUCCAUUUGUUUAUGGGUCUAUUACAUACACAUGUAUUUGUAGGUACCCAGUUUGUUCACUUAGUAAUAGUAAUGUUAGUAUUUAGAACAAUCGUGUGGAUAUUCUGAAAAGCAUAAAACACUAGUGCUACUUUGGUUUUUUAACUCAACAUAUCGUUUUUUACUUUUAAAUAUUUGGUCAUUUGAUUUCAUUACAGUCAAAUAAGAAAAAUAUUGUUCUUUGUGCUAAAUAAAUAUUAUGGUUGAAGCAGUUACUUUAUCACAUUGAUGAUGUUAUGCUAAGUUGGAUUCCAUCCAAAUGUUACUUGGACACUAUUAAACAACUCUAUGAUUGUUCUAUUUGAUUACUUACCUUCUCAGAUCAGAUCAGAUCAACAAGUUUCAGCAACAAAACCUUCCUCCUGUAGCUGAUCCUCUAUCAUCCCCAUUUAUAAUUGCAAACUACUGUCAUGUCUAGAUUGAUCCUUCUCUUCCUAACUCUGUUCUUGAAUAAGGCUAGCAACUUUUGAUGGUAGCUUCCUGCUCCUUGAUCAUGGUUAUCUCAACAUAUCACAUGGUUAGACUUGUAGCUGUGGCCAGAAAAAGAGAAAAAUCAGUGCACCAAGUCUGAGAAAUGCAGUUCCCCACACUAGGUGCAUGCUAAAAUGGUUCUCAAAGAUAUUUCUUCUGGGAAUUUUGCUAGGAGCAAUGACCCUCUACCAGGGAGCAAGAUUUGUGGUUAUAAGGAAGAAAAAGAAUCUGGAUGGUCUCCACUUUGGGACAGUUAGAUGCUUAGAACUUCAUAGUUUGACAGAUUGGGAUAAAACAGCAGAACUUGUGGCUGAAGAUAAGGUUUUGUCCCACAGUUCCUCAGAUGGAGAAUAGUUGCUGCAAGAAUAUUAUUGGAUUAUUGGAUGAGUACGGCUAGAAAGCCAUCAUGGGAAAUAAUGGUAAUGCUUCCUCAGGAAACAUCAUGCCCCAUCGUGCUCUGCUAAACCUCUAAAUUUAUGCACGUGAGGGUUUUAAAAGAGAAUAAAAUCUGCAGGGAGUGGAAGAAGUUUUUUUUCCCCUCUGGAAAUAUAGGGUAGCAGUAUUCAUGAAGAAGCAAGUUAAUAGUUAGAAGUGUCUUCGAGUGAGCGUUGAAAAGAAGCAAUAAAUGCCGUGAAGCUGCCUUUGGAUGCGUCUUCCGUUGUAUCCGCACUGUAUCCAGUAACGACUCUGAUCCGUGAAGAUUUUGUUGCGAACAAAAUGCCUCUAAAAUCUCUUAAUUUGCAAAUGGCUUAUGAAAGACAUGUGAAGAACCAUGGAUGUAAAUAAUUAACACCAGCUGGGUGAUCAUCUGACAGGAUAAACUAAUCCCCACUCCUCCCUCCUUUUGAUAUGUUCCAAUGGACCAACGCACGUCAGUCGGCUGACGUCGCCCUGUGUCUUCCCAAUGCAGAUUUGGUUAAUUUAAGCAGGUUUCAUCAUCAAACCAGAGAAGUCCAAGAUUCAAGGAAAUAAAAAUACAUUAUCCGCCCCAAUACUGAAUGCGGCAAGACUUUGAUUUGUUCCACACGGGUUGCAUCUGGUCCCUCCCAAUGAGGAUUAUUGUAAUGUAACAGCACACGAAAAAACUAAAAGAAUAAGAUUGUGAAGAGAUGGAUUGAUGUACCUCAUUCGGGGUUGCAAGUUCCCGUGGAAGGUAUAAACAAUGUAUGCCAUAAUUGGCUGUUGGGCGAUUGAUAUCAUUGUAUAGAAUACAAAAGGUACAAAUUUCAGCAUCAAGGCUUGCAAUGGCGACAGCUGAACAACAAGUGUCCUCAGGCAUACAUGCUCUCUACGGGUGUUCUCAGUCAUCCAAUGCUCCUCCAGUUAGAUUUAAUGUGUUGAACUGGUUUGAGCCACUUAACUAGCUAUGUUGGUUGAGGGUUGAUAGAGGACAAAAAUUGUUCAUUUGAGGUGAAUACAGUUUAGAUAAGGUGGGUAGCUAUCGUUGGAAAUGGAUGAGUUUGAUCCGAAGUGUUUGAUUUAUCUUUCUUAGGGGAGGAGAGACUAAGUGUGUGUUAUUUCUCUUAUUUCUUAUUUUUCCUAUAUCUUUCCUAUAAUAA